rnacentral:lncRNA from 1 species
UGUGUUAGAUUAGAUCUAAAGAAAUAUUCAUGAUUUAUUUUGAUUGAGUUAUUUUCUGUUAUGUAAUUAGCAAUAGGAUUGCUGUUUAUGAAAUGUGCUGAUCUGUUUGUGAAAUGAGUCAACAUACUUGGUGAACAGAAAAUAAAAUCUUUCAAAUUUAAAAAUUAUUUUCGAAAUGCCAAACCCUGAUCCAUCAGUCCAAAUACUUAAUUAAAAGAAUUAAGUGUUGUC